UUUCCUUUUAGACUCUACUUCCUUAUGUUGUUACUUAGAAAGUACCACUAGGCGAAAGUCCAAUUGAGGACUCCAUGAUAAAACAGCUGUCCAGGAACCAGGAAACAGGAUCCACCAGAAACUAAGCCGACCAGCGCCUUGAUCAUGUACUUCCCAGCCUCCACAAAUGUAAAUUGCAUCAUUCCAUUUCUUGAAUUGGCUAGUGAUACAACGUAUGAUCCUCUCUCCUGAUGCUGGGAGUGGCAGCAGGCCUCAGCUUGUAACCAGCUAUGAGAUCACCAG